UUAGAAUUUUUUGACUUCAUGAAAUAUAUUGUUUUAUGUAACAUUUUAACAAUAAAAAAAAAAAAAUUAAUUUUUCUUUUUACUGGACAAGAUUUAAGCUCCUAAUAUUUACUCACAUGAAGUGAAUUUUUAUCGCAGCAUGGAAAAGAAAUAAAUUGCGAGAUGUUAACUAAUACAACUACAUAGUUAAUUAACAGAUUUAAUAUGUGCCAACCAAUUGUCUAUAAUAACGUUGAACAAAAAAUAAAAAACAUUUUGAUAUUUAUUUAUGGAUUUAAUUGUUCAUUUAUAUCUAUCUCUAAUUUGUACUUGAUUAUUGGAAUUUAUCUUUGCAAAAGAAAAACAAAUUUCACCAGAAACGAUAAACAUGUUAUUAUGCUUUCGUCAAUUGAUCUAGUUAUCGGUUUGUUGGGUCAGCCUUUAGAGAUUUAUGUCAUAAAAGAAUCACCUAAUAUUGUAUGCAUUCUAAAUUCCCUACGUAGUUUUUUUCUUAUGUUUCUCAGUAAAGCAUCAGCGUAAACCACAAUCUUAAUUGCUUCUGAUAGAUAUAUGACAAUUUUGUACACUGACAGAAACUUUAUUGAACGUUAUCCUAUUUUAAGUAUUGCUUCAGUUUUUGUUACUAGUACUGCUUUAGGUCUUAUUUAUGCCUAUUUAAUAAUGUAUGAAGAACUACGAAAUAAAUUGAUUUUUUUUGUGACCAGCUUUGAUUUAGUUGGCUUCUUUUUAAUCACGAUGGUGAACAUCUCUUUACUUGUUAAAACAAAAAAAAUAACAAAAAUAAUGUCUGGUGACAGACUGUAUAAAAUUGAUACUGACAAACGACUAACUAAUACAAUUGCUUUAAUAUCAAUAACGCUUUUAGUUGUGUAUCUACCAUACAUUAUAUUACAUUUUAUUGUUGCAACUUUAGACGUGGACAAACAAAUUGUCGUAAAAUAUAUAUAUCUUUAUACUUUUAUUCCGAUUCACUUGAACUCCGCAAUUAACGCUGUUAUAUACAUUUCAAGAAAUAAAGAAAUUUUGAAAAAACUUUAUUUAGUUUAGAAUGUUCCAGAUACAAAAUUAAAAACUA